GAAUUUUUCGCAAUGGGGGCAACCCUGACGAAGCAACGCCGCGUGGAGGAUGAAGGCCUUCGGGUCGUAAACUCCCGUCGACCGGGACGAAAGUUAUCCGACCUAACACGUCAGGUAAUCGACUGUACCGGUGGAGGAAGCCACGGCUAACUCUGUGCCAGCAGCCGCGGUAAUACGGAGGGUGCGAGCGUUGUCCGGAAUCAUUGGGCGUAAAGGGCGCGUAGGUGGCCCGGUCAGUCCGUGGUGAAAGCGCGGGGCUCAACCCUGCGUCGGCCAUGGAUACUGCCGCGGCUCGAGCACUGUAGAGGCAGGCGGAGUUCCGGGUGUAGCGGUGGAAUGCGUAGAGAUCCGGAAGAACACCGGUGGCGAAGGCGGCCUGCUGGGCAGUUUAGCUGACACUGAGGCGCGACAGCGUGGGGAGCAAAC
rnacentral:rRNA from 1 species